rnacentral:rRNA from 1 species
AGAGUUUGAUCCUGGCUCAGAACGAGCGUUGGCGGCGCGCCUAACACAUGCAAGUCGAACGAGAAAAGCGGGGCAACUCGCUGAGUAAAGUGGCGCACGGGUCAGUAACACGUGGGUAACCUGCCCUUCGGUGGAGGACAACCUGUCGAAAGACGGACUAAUACUCCAUGAGACCUCGGGAUCUUUGGGUCCUGCGGCCAAAGGUGGCCUCUCCUUGGAAGCUAUCGCCGAUGGAUGGGCCCGCGUACCAUUAGCUAGUUGGUGAGGUAACGGCCCACCAAGGCUGAGAUGGUUAGCUGGUCUGAGAGGACGACCAGCGACACUGGAACUGAGACACGGUCCAGACUCCUACGGGAGGCAGCAGUGGGGAAUCUUGGACAAUGGGCGAAAGCCUGAUCCAGCGACGCCGCGUGAGUGAUGAAGGCCUUCGGGUCGUAAAGCUCUGUCAGACGGGACGAAUAAGGGUGACCUAACACGUCACUCGAUGACGGUACUGUCAAAGGAAGCACCGGCUAACUCUGUGCCAGCAGCCGCGGUAAUACAGAGGGUGCAAACGCUGUUCGGAAUCACUGGGCGUAAAGGGCGCGUAGGCGGUGAAGUGUGUUCAAUGUGAAAUCCCUCGGCUUAACUGAGGAACGGCAUUGAAAACUAUUUCGCUUGAGUGUGAGAGAGGGUGGCGGAAUUCCCAGAGUAGAGGUGAAAUUCGUAGAUACUGGGAGGAAUACCUGAGGCGAAGGCGGCCACCUGGCUCACUACUGACGCUGAGGCGCGAAAGCGUGGGGAGCAAACAGGAUUAGAUACCCUGGUAGUCCACGCGGUAAACGAUGAUAACUAGGUGUCGGGAGAAUUGACCCUUUCGGCGCCGCAGCUAACGCAAUAAGUUAUCCGCCUGGGGAGUACGGUCGCAAGACUAAAACUCAAAGGAAUUGAUGG